rnacentral:lncRNA from 10 species
GGGAAAGCCAGAAAGGCCUGUCUGUCUAGAUCCUUCCUGGUGUUUCUGAGCAGCAUUGCUCUCUUCUGGGUAUGGGACAGGACCCUCUCUGGAAUAGGGGUCUUAUGACCUAAAGCCAAACAAGAGUGAAGUGGAAGAGAUCUUGCAACAUUUCCUGCCCCACUGACCCCCUACUUUGGGCCUUAGCCCCAAGAGAAGAAGUAUGACUACCCUACUGUUCACAAACAAAGAUGUGGAAUCAACCUAAGUGUCCAUCAAUGGAUAAUUGGAUAAAGAAAAUGUGGCAUAGAUCUAUACAAUGGAAUACUAUUCAGCUAUAAAAAAGACUGAAAUCACAUCUUUUACAAAAACAUGGAUGAAACUGGAGGCCAUUCUCUUUAAGUGAAAUCACUCGGAAAUAGAAAGUCAAAUACCGCAUGUUCUCACUUACAAGUGGGAGCUACAUAAUAUGUACUCAUGGACAUAGAGUGUGGAAUGAUGGACAUUGGAGACUUGGAAGGGUGGAGGUGGAUGGGAGGGGUUGAGGGAUGAGAAAUUAUUUAAUAGGUACAAUGUAUAUUAUUUCGGUGAUGGUUACACUAAAAACCCAGACUUCACCACUGGGCAAUAUAUCCGUGUAAUAAAACUGCAUUUGUACCCCUUAAAUUUAUACAACUAAUAAAUAAAGAAGUAUGGCUACUCUUCUAGAGAAAUAACAUGGAGAGGUCCUGAACAGCAGCA